CAAAGAUUGUAGGGACUUGAUGAUGUGGGGAAGAUACAGAUGUGGAAUGGCAUUAAAGGGGCACAGCUACAGUCAGCCCUACCUAGAAAAUGGAGUGCACUUGGCAGUGAUCAGUGAGUGUAGACAGAGGGAAAACCUUAAGUCAACAGAAGUGAGCUGGCAAACAAGGGAAGAAAAGCUGUUAGCUAUAAGUACAGUGAAUUUAUUAUCCAUCCAGGCUAAAGGAGAAAACGCUUGUUUGUUGGCGGAUUUGAUCUUUUGUGCGACAGCUAAUGUAGUGACAGAACACAUCCCAGAAGGGAGCUUCGCUAUAGGGGUGGAGAGGUCCCCAGAAAGAAUUGACAUGUCCUAGCGCCCGCAGGAUCGUUCAAAUGUGCGGAAUGUCAGCCACAGCAUAUUCAUAGUUUUCAGCGGCAGAGCGGUUUCUCCGUAUACAGUAUGUGCAUGUACAGUUGCAGAAACUUACAUGUCUCCAUGGACCAAUCCAUAAAUCUCGGUUAUGUUCUUGUGGUAAAUACUUUUGAGAAUGACCAGGUGCAGGACAACGACAGCUGCAGGAAGUCCCCAUCCUACCACAAAGAAGA